UACCAUGGAAACCAUCAGUGCAUCUGUCAAACCUGAUCUUUUGUGAGGACGUCCAUUAACCUGCAGAAGUCAAUUAAAACUUCAUUCAGACAUAAACGAGUUGAUUCACGGAUGGUUGAAGCAAAGAGUAACACCAGCAGAAAAAUUUGUUUAUCAACCGAGAAAAAGACCAGCACAAACCUAGAUAGACCUCAUCAUGAUGAUGAUGAAGAGAGUAUUAAUGGAGGACAGCUGGAUCAACAUUAGCCUACCCACACUGUAGAAAAGCCACACCACUGUAACCAGUGUGGGAUGAGUUUCAGACUACCUAUACUAUUGAAGAUUCAUCAGCAUAUCCACACUGGAGAAAAGCCUUUAUGUCUAAGACCAAUAUGGGAAAAGUUCCUGUCACUUACAGGACUUAGAGAGGCAUCAGAGUAUCCACGAUGGAGAAAAGCCAUACUUCUGUGACCAGUGUGGGAAGAGUUUCCGAUUCACUUUGUCAUUCAAAAUUCCUCAGUGUAAUGUUAUCCACAUCGGAGAAAAGCCUUAUGUCUGUGAACAAUGUGGGAAGAGUUUCCGUUGCUUAGGGGACUUGGAGAUGCUUCAGUACAUCCACACUGGAGAAAAACCAUACUUCUGUGACAAAUGUGGGAAGAGUUUUAGGCAGUCAUGCUAUUUGAAGGUUUAUCAGGGUAUUCACACUAGAGAAAUGUAUCAUCAUCUACACAAUUUGAAAUGUAUGAUCAAAUUGGCUAUUUAAAAAUUAUUUGGAUUAUAAAGGUUGUCACACAACUGUCCCAAUAAUAUUCCUAUGCAUGCAA